UAACAUCAUGGUGGCUGUUGAGAGCUAUCAAUGUCAAAAGAAGUCUGAAGAUAUUCAUUUCCAAAGGCUGGUUUCAGUCAAAGCUUUCACGGCCUUGUAACAAUUUUGCUUAAUUUAAUUUCCUUUUGUUUAAUCUAAUUUCCCCUCUUUUAAUCUAAUUUCCUAUGUUGUGUUUUAAUAGAAGAUGAAAAGUGAAAAAAAAAAAAAAGCCCCCAAAAAUAAAACAAAAAACAAAAAAGAAACACAGCAUCAAGAACAGGGACAAAAGAAGAAAUACCCACACAUAUAUCCAGGCUCUUAUGAUUAAGUAAGCUAUAAUUUACGUAUUUGGUAAGACUGUGGGCAAGCAAAUGUCAUUUUUUUUGCAUUUCUUUUUCUGUGCCAUUGUCUGUGCAAUAAGAUAGCUCAUUACCAACGUCUGUGUUUUACAGGGACAUGAAAAAAAUGUGUGUGUCUUGUCCAGUAAAUCAGUGGAAUUUUAUCCAAAGUAGUGAGUCUCCAACUAAGGAACUGAUGCCACAUGCAUAUUCCAGAACGAAACAUCAACCUUGCUAGCAUUUGUGCCCAUCUACAUUGUCUUGUCUGGUCCAGCUGGUGUUGGGAUAUUGUUGAUUAUAUAAAAAGAGAUUAUUUCAUUAAUUGUAGAAGAAGGAAAAGCAUACCAAAGAUGGAGGGGAGCAUCUGCAAGAUACACAAGAAGCAAAAAAAGGCUGGUGCUGACAAGUUCACCCAAGACAAUCAAGGAUAAGUUAUUGCAAUAACAACAUAGCCCUAAAUGUGGGGCAGGGCAGAAUUACAUCACCUAAGGAGGAGCAUCUGCAAGAUUUUUUCUUCUCAAAGCACAGAUCCUAAAGUCAUUUCUCCCUGAGGAGGAAGGUAGCUUUCCUUGUGACUUAAUGGCCCAGCAUCCCUGGUGUAUCUUGGUGAGUAAUGCCCUAGGUAUUCUUGAGGAAUGUGUAGCAACUGUUUAUCUGAAUAGCUUUUGUGAAAGUCUUUGAAGUGAAUAGAACCUGCAGGUUUGCCCACUCAGCAGGUCUGCAGCUGGCAGAAGGUCAUAUGCCAGUCUAGGAGUCUACUCAUAAACUUCCAUUUGUACAAAUGUCAAAAUGAGCUAUAUUCUCAGCAGAUAUAAAUCCUCACAUUUAUAUAUCUCCAUUCAUCAUCACAGUCUUGUUUCCAGUGCAAAUUUUCUCAAUAUUUUUGUUCUCAUUUCCAGGGAUGAGUGUAUUGUUUGCAGUCAGGUCAUAUUUCCUAUCAGUAUGUCCUCUUUCCCUGCUUAUCUGUUGAUUUUUCAGUGGAAUUUGGAUGAAACAACAAAACCUUACUUGUAAGUGAAAAUGAGUAGACUGGAAAUGUAAAGAAUGGCUGGACUGCAAUUAAAGAGUAUUUGAGCUUGCCCACUGCUAUCCAGUCUUACUUUUCUCACUCAGAUGGGUUGCCACAUGAUCCAUACACAAAUGGUGAAGACACAAAGGAAAGGGAAGGAAAAACUAACUCAAAUCUUUCAUUGAAAGACUGUAGGAAGUGACAUAUAGUGACAUAAGUAAGUGACAUAUAUUACUUCUAAAUAUGUAUGUUGCCAUCCGUGUGCUGCUCUUAAUGAACUUAUAAAAAUAAGUUCUGAAAUUAUUUUGCUUGGAAAACACAGAUCAGCUUGAGUAACCUUGCUAUGAAGGUUUUUUAUAAUGUUUCUGCCUCCAGCUGUCCAUCCUAUGCUUACGCCAGGAACUAUUAAAUGAUACCCUUUAAAUUUAAUUAUUUAUUUUUUGGCUGAAGCAGUUGAGGCAACUUCAUAUUUUUUUCCUAAUUUCUCUCUUGUCAGUAGGAUGAGAACCUCUGGCCCAGCAGCAAACAAACAGCUAGGGGCUGUAUGAUCUUAAACUGAUGCAGUGUGUAAAAAUCCCCAGACUUGCAAAAAGUCACUUUCAUCUGUUUCAUAAAGAGAGUAGUUUUCUAUCCAGGCAGCUGAACAGUAUUUUCUUUUUGGAAAUUCCUUGAAUAGUGAGUUGAGUUUUAGCUUAAAACUAACUGCUGUGGGCUUUUUUUGACUGACAAGUACUGGAAUAAGCUCUCCAGGGAGGUUGUUGAGUCACCAUCCCUGAAUGUGUUUAAAAACCAUUUGGAUGUGGUGCUCAGGGACACGAUUUAGUAAAUGGUUGUUAGAGUUAGGGUAAUAUGGUUAGGCUGCAGUUGGACUUGAAGAUCUUCAAGGUCUUUUCUAACCUGAGCGAUUGUAUGAUUCCAUGAUUCUACAGAACAGAGAAAUCAGUAAAGUAUUGAACCUACCUGAAUAGCAGCACUAUUUAUAAGUGUGAUAUGAAGUCAGCCUGGGGUCUUUCACAUUUUGAACAGUAGAAACAGGAAAUCCUCCAUAAAACACAUCCAAAGGACUUUUGAUCACUGAAUGAUAACAUCUGUAACCUACCCUGCCCAAGCUUUAUGAAUUGCUUAUGAAACUUCACUACAAAGAGGUAUCAAAGUUACGCACAGGUAUAUCUUCACAAAAAAAGUCUUCUUUUUUUUUUUUUUCUUUUCUUUUCUUUCUUUCUUUCUUUUUUUUUUUUUAAAUCUUAUUCUUUUCAUGCAUUACUUAUUUAUUUGUUUGUUUGUUUGUUUUUGAUUCAGAAGAAAAACCUUGUUUAGUUUGUCACUUAGGGAAUCAUUCUUGCCCCUAUCUAUUCCAUCACUCCAUGAUCCAGGCUACUUGAAAAGACAAGGUAUGGUGUCAUUUGUCAAAACAAACAGUAGGAAUUUCAGUUUUACAGACAAAUUAAUUGCAGUUCAGUUGUUCUCUUGCAGGUGGCUGAAGCUGAGGUGAAAAGACUAUUACCAUAGGAAAGUACUUCAGCUAUCUGAAGGUAAGCUGUUCCCUGCUUCAUGUGGGAAAUAAACUCAGGGAAAAUAUUGAACUUACCUGGAAC
ensembl:lncRNA